rnacentral:rRNA from 1 species
CAUAGCCACGGUAAUACGGAGGGUGCAAGCGUUAUCCGGAUUUACUGGGUUUAAAGGGUGCGUAGGCGGACUUGUAAGUCCGAGGUGAAAUCUCUGAGCUUAACUCGGAAACUGCCUUGGAUACUAUAGGUCUUGAAUCUCGUUGAGGUUUGCGGAAUAUGUCAUGUAGCGGUGAAAUGCUUAGAUAUGACAUAGAACACCUAUUGCGAAGGCAGCAGGCUACACAACUAUUGACGCUGAGGCACGAAAGCGUGGGGAUCAAACAGGAUUAGAUACCCCUGUAGUCCCUGUCUCUUAUACC